rnacentral:rRNA from 1 species
ACUUACUAUAUAGUGGGGGGAUAAUUAGAAGAAAUUCUGGCUAAUACCGUAUACGUAGAGCAAUUUUGAAAGUAGCUCUAGAAAGGAUGCUUUGGCAUUCGCUGAAUGAUGGGCCUGCGUAGCAUUAGUUUGUUGGUGGGGUAACGGCUUACCAAGACGACGAUGCUUAGCUGGUCUGAGAGGAUGAUCAGCCACACUGGAACUGAGACACGGUCCAG